rnacentral:rRNA from 1 species
AGAGUUUGAUCCUGGCUCAGGAUGAACGCUAGCUACAGGCUUAACACAUGCAAGUCGAGGGGCAGCAUGGUCUUAGCUUGCUAAGGCCGAUGGCGACCGGCGCACGGGUGAGUAACACGUAUCCAACCUGCCGUCUACUCUUGGACAGCCUUCUGAAAGGAAGAUUAAUACAAGAUGGCAUCAUGAGUCCGCAUGUUCACAUGAUUAAAGGUAUUCCGGUAGACGAUGGGGAUGCGUUCCAUUAGAUAGUAGGCGGGGUAACGGCCCACCUAGUCUUCGAUGGAUAGGGGUUCUGAGAGGAAGGUCCCCCACAUUGGAACUGAGACACGGUCCAAACUCCUACGGGAGGCAGCAGUGAGGAAUAUUGGUCAAUGGGCGAGAGCCUGAACCAGCCAAGUAGCGUGAAGGAUGACUGCCCUAUGGGUUGUAAACUUCUUUUAUAAAGGAAUAAAGUCGGGUAUGGAUACCCGUUUGCAUGUACUUUAUGAAUAAGGAUCGGCUAACUCCGUGCCAGCAGCCGCGGUAAUACGGAGGAUCCGAGCGUUAUCCGGAUUUAUUGGGUUUAAAGGGAGCGUAGAUGGAUGUUUAAGUCAGUUGUGAAAGUUUGCGGCUCAACCGUAAAAUUGCAGUUGAUACUGGAUAUCUUGAGUGCAGUUGAGGCAGGCGGAAUUCGUGGUGUAGCGGUGAAAUGCUUAGAUAUCACGAAGAACUCCGAUUGCGAAGGCAGCCUGCUAAGCUGCAACUGACAUUGAGGCUCGAAAGUGUGGGUAUCAAACAGGAUUAGAUACCCUGGUAGUCCACACGGUAAACGAUGAAUACUCGCUGUUUGCGAUAUACAGCAAGCGGCCAAGCGAAAGCGUUAAGUAUUCCACCUGGGGAGUACGCCGGCAACGGUGAAACUCAAAGGAAUUGACGGGGGCCCGCACAAGCGGAGGAACAUGUGGUUUAA